CUUUUGUGUUUUAUAGGUAAAAAUAUAUUAAGAACCUUUUAAUUAUAGUGCAUUUUGAAAUAAGUCCUUUCAACUUUAAAUAUUUUAUUUAUACAUUCUUAACUUUCCAAUUAUUUUGAUAAGCUAAUUUAUUUAACUAAAUAAAAUGGUAUGCUAAAUUUAAUAGCACUGUUAGAUAUUUGGUUAUUAUUAUUUUAUUAACAAAAAUUUAAAAAAUUUAAAUUCUAACUAAAUUGCUAUUAGAUUUAGUAAAAUUCUUAAAUUAUUUGAAUGAAAUAAUGUAAAUAAAAUAAUUAGAAGUUAAGCGAGUGUAAAUUAAAGAAAUAAAUUUAAUAUUUUUUAAUAUUAAUUAUCUAACCACUAAAUUUUUUUAUUAAAAAUUUGAAUAGUUAAAAUUUUAUUUAUCUGCUAAAUAUUUUAUUUGUAUAUAUUUUGUCCUUCUUUGUGAUUGAAUUCUGGCUUCGUUCCUGAGCGUACGUGUUUUUACCGGUCAUUUGACGUGACGAUAGUUAACAUCUUAUUUAUUAGACGACUAAAGUGUAACUUGUACACAACGGAUAGAGUGUACAAGUGCUAUUUUUCGGGGUUUUUUUAAACAUUCAACCCUCUUAAAAUUUUUAUUUUUAUAAAUAAUUCUAAUAAAAUUUAUUAUUUUGCAUAAAUAGUUUUCUUUUUCCCACACCAGCGCUUAGAUGGCCAUUUUAGAUUGAACACGGUGAUUCAAUUAUAAUUUUUUUACAUUUUUUAUUGCUUCUAGAUUAAAAAAGAGAAACUGGAGUAUGAAUACGAAUACAGUGAUCUAAUUAUCGUGUUCAAUAAAAAUAACAACGUGGUGUUCACACGGCAAAGAGAGAGUCAUAUAUGCAAAUAUAAAUUUAUAGGUCCAUUCAUAAAAGAGAAGUUUUAAGGGAGUAAAUAUAAAAAGUCUUUUAUUUAUGCUUCGUUUGGGAUUGCGGGGAGAUUGCGUUAUGUGCGGUGAGAAAGUUCGAUGAAAAAAUAUUAUAUUUAUUUUCGUACGUAAUAUUGCGUUCUGCAUAUUGUGAUGAGUCGGUUAUAAUAUAUUUUCUACGGUCCCACCGGAGAACACAGAAGCAUAUCCCUAUAUGCUUUUUUCUUAACUCCAUUUUAUCUGACAAUGUCAGAUUGACCUUAAUACCAAACUAUACCAAACUAAGCCUUAGUCUUUCUGAUAUGUAAUCUUAUUUUUAGUCUUUCUAAUAUGUAAUCUUAUUUUUGGUGUGAUUGCUAAGAAUUUGUUAACUAUAUCUAUUAAUCUAUUAAAUAUAAGAGUUAAAUGCAUAUAGGUCCUUACAAAUAUAGUGAAUUUCAAAUAUAUUUCUAUAAAGUUACUGUUAGAGAACUAUUUAUAUGUCCUUUAAAUAUAUUUCAAAUAUAUUUCUAUAAAUUUCAAAUAUAGGUCCUUCAAAUAUAUCCCUCCGAUUUGUUACUGUUAGAGAACUAUUUAUAUUUUAACAGCAGAUAAAUAAAAUGUCAAUUUUGCUAUCACAUAUAUGUCCCUUCAAAAGUCACAACAGUUAUAAUCUUGUAGAAAUAUCCCCCAAAAAUAUUUCAAUGAUUAUCUUUCUUUCUAAACUUCUUCCUUUUCAAAAUCCAAUCCAUUCCACGAUUAUUGCAACCUCUUUUCUCACUCCUUUUUUUUUCUAAAUAUUUUUUUCUAAGCAAAAAAAAAAAAAAAUCAUAAAGAAAAUUGAAUGAGAAAGCAAUACGCGUUUGAUAGAGCGAAGCCACAUGCAUCGUGGAUGAAUGGAGACAGAGAAAUUCUAAUUAUGAAUUCGAAACUUGCAUAAAGGAAAGAGAGAAAGAAGAAGAGGAAGAAGAAGAGGUAUAUCCCAUAUGCUUUUUCUCAACCCCAUUUUAUCUAACUAGUGUUGAACCUGCGCUUCGUUGCGCCCAAUUUUGACACUAAUAUUCUAAUAUAAAUUUUAAAAUAAUUUUAAUGUCAAUAUUUUGAUGUGAAUUAUUAUAUAUAAUCAUAAAAAAAGACAAUACAAUCAGGUAUAUAGCAGAAUAUAUAAAAUCUGCAGCCAAAUGUAAUCCAUUCAUAGUCAAUUAAAGGAUUUUUUGGUUAGACGUAUGGAAUUAGUGCAAAAAUUUUAUGAACACUGUGUUCAUAUGAAAUUAUUUGGGGAUAUUUUGGAUGGACGCCAUGUGGCACCACGGCCACGUGGGACAUCAUCCCGCUGCUCUGCCUGUUAGGAGAGCAGUGGAAUUUUUUUCGAUGCACCAGGUUCACCUCUUUUUCUUUAAAAUUUUAUUUUUUAUUUUUAAAUAUAAUUUAAUAUAAUAGAUAUAUAUUUUAUGAUAUCUAAAAAUAUAUAUGCAAAAGGAUUUUAAAUCAUAAACCAUAAAUUCUUUUACAUAUAUUUUUAAAAUAUCAUAAUAUAUAUUAGAUUAUAAUUAAAAAAUAAAAAAUAAAAUUUUAAAACAAAAAAAUGGUGCACCGGGUGCACCAAAAAAAAACCAGUACUCUCCCAAAAGCAGAGUAACGGGGCGUGGGGAGGUGUUAUGCGGCGCCCAUCGGAGGCGUCCGAGUGCCACGCGGCGGCCAAACGCCGUAUCCCCAAAUUUCUUUCUAUGGGCACAAUGCCAGAAAAUUUUUGCCACUUCUUCACCCCCUUUCACCACCAUUUUUCUCUUUUAUGCUCCCGAAGCAGACCCUUUUCCCCUUUUAUGCUCCCAAAGCAGCGGGAUGGUAAAUAGGCUUCGACUCGUCGCUGGCGAAGGGUAUAGAUCAGGCUCGGGUCGUCGACGAUGGACACAGCGGCGGCAACAGCUUGGACGGCUUGGGCGGUGGACACAGCAGCAACGACGGCUUCAGCGAUGACGACGGCAGACGCGAUGGCGGUGGCGGCCGCAGGCGUGGUGGGCGCGGUGGUGGUCGCGGAUGCGAUGGACGCGGUGGCGGCGACUUCCUGUCAACUGCAAAUAUAUAUAUAUAUAUGUAUAUUUUUUUUAAUUUGUAAUUUUUUUUUAAUCCUUCUCUUCUUCUCCACUCUCUUUCUCUUUUUUUUUUUCUCUCUCUUUUUUUUUUUUAAACUUCUUCCUUAAUGUUCACAGUACGCUCUUUUUUUUUUUUCUAUUUUUUUAGUUUUUUUUAAGUAUGGAUGAAGCCUCCUCUUGUGCCGUCCGCGGAUCCUCCGUGUGAUUCCCCCCCUGCUCGAGCUUCUUUCUCAAGUUAUUUAUAAAGCUCAAGUAUAAAUUUUCAAAAUUUUCUCAUAUCUUAAAGAGAUUUUUAAGAUAUUGGGAAAUAUGUGAUUCCGGAUUUUUCGGAAUUUUGUUGACUGGGUAGAGGCCCUAAAAAAAAAUUGCAUGACAUGCAAGCACAAAAAAGUGCCACGUAUAUUUUUAGAGACUGUCAAAUUAUGUAUUUGUUAAGGAUAGCAUUAGAUCCAUCUCAAUAGCAAACUAAGCCUGAGUAUCACAAAGAAGGCCACAUUUAAGACUGUAUAUAUGCAAAUGCGGACACCACAUUUUAGGUAGAAUGGCAUGGAGGCCCCUCAAAUAUAAGGAAUUGUGAAAUACAUCCGUCGGCUUUAUUGAUUUAUUUAUUUUGUUGGCACCCUUCAGUUUCUAUGUUUGAAAAUAUUUGCUGAGAACCAGUCAACUAUAAACAAUUUUGACAUAAUAAAAUUCAGUUUCUAGAAUAUUGUUUUAAUAUUCUAAAUUAUAUUUAACAGUAUCCAUCAUUAAUUUAAAAACUCUAUCAUCAAAAAUAAUUUAUAAGUAUGAAAAUAAUUCUACUCAUUAUAGUAUAGUAGUAGGGCUGGCAAACAAGCGAGCCGGCUCGUGUUCGACUCGUGUUCGGCUCGAUAUUCGGCUCGCUCGAGCUCGACUCGAAAUUAAAUGAGCCGAGCUUGAACAAAAUAAAAGGCUCGAAAUUCAUUUCAAGCCGAGCUUGAGUAUUACUCGGCUCGUUCGAAUUAGGCUCGAAAAGCUCGAAAAGCUCGAAAAUAUAUAUAUAGGCUGGGGCUACUAUACUCUUAUGAGUAUAGACCCCCUUGUACUCAUAAAUUUUUAACCGUUGAUUGAUGGAUGUAUGGUUAGGAUGAUGGUGGUCCCCACUUAGAAUGACAGUGGUCCCCUAGGGUUGAGUGGGUAGUUGGUUAAAUAGUAUGAUCUAACGGAUGAAAAUGAUUAAUGGAAUAAAUCUAAGGGUCGAAAACUUAUGAGUAUAAAGGAGCCAAUACUCAUAAAAGUAUAGNAUUAUUGUUGGCCCAUAAAAUAAACCCAACAAGUACAAUCGUACAAUUGAGCCCAACUCUAAAUUUACAUAACACACUAUCUUUUUUAGACUUUCACUGUUGCACAUAACCCUAAAACAUAAUAGCAUUCAAAUUCCCAAAUGCCUACUUUUUUUCCUCUCUCUCUCUCUCUCUCUCUCUCAGACCCUCAUCUAGUCAGGAAGUCACCUUAGCUCACAUUUCUUAUAAUUAUUUUGUAUUUUGAACUAUUGGAGAUGUUGCAUUAAAUUAUAGGUAAUGUUCUACAACAAUUAAACUAUUGAUUAUAUAAUGUCGAGAAUUUCAAUCAGCUCGUUUAGAGCUCGAGCUCGGCUCGACGCAAAAUUAGGCUCGCUCGAGCUCGGCUCGAAUUAAUUUCAAGCCGAGCUUGAGCCUAGAUUUAGGCUCGAAAUUAAUUUCAAGCCGAAUUUGAGCUGACAUAAGCUCGCUCGAGCUCGGCUCGUUUCCACCCCUAUAUAGUAGUCUCUCUCACUCUAUAUAUAUAUACAUAUAUUACUUCUAUUUUUUAAAUAUUGAUUUAAACUAUUCUGAUUUUGGUUAAUUUUCUUAAAAUUUCAUAUAAAACUUUUUUUUUCCUAAAUUACUGCACAUAUUUUAUAAAAUUAAUGUUAUAAAUUUUUAAAAUAAAAAGAAAAAAGAAAAAAAAACAAAAAUAAGCUAGUCCAUGGCCCGAGACUGUUCGGCCCAGUUUAGAUUUGUUUCCACUAGGGGCCGUGCCGGCCCAUGGUUGAGGAAAAAGUGACCCGGCUUGUAGGGAUGUCAACCGGUCGGAUUUGGAAUGGGUUUUUCAAAACCUAAAUCCGAGCCUAACGAAUUUUGAAAAUUUAUAUCGUAAUCCAAAUUCGACCAAAAACACGAAGCCCACAUCUAAACCCAAACUCGAAAUAAUUAUUUCUCUUUACUAUAUUUCAAAUAUAUAAUAUUAAAACCUAAAUUUUUAAAAUACAAGUUCGGAUAUAACAUCAAAUACUAUAUAUAUAUAUAUUAUAUAAUAUAAAAUUAAUUCUGGUUCAAGUCAGGUGGGACAAAAUGCAUACCCAGCUCUAAUCAAAUUCACAUUAAUCACGAUAAAAUAAGCUACGUCAACUCCAGUAAAAUCAUUCAUUAACGAAACGGACAGUAUGCUACCUUUCUCUCUAAAAAAAAAAAGAUUACUGUCAUGGUCAGAAAUCUUCAGAUCAACCUCAGCAUUAACUUUUUCUAACUUCUGGAAGAGUAUGAUAACACUCGUAACUCGACAUCAAGGAAGCUGACUACUCCAAAUGAGAUGGCAGGUAUUGUGUGUAAAGUCAAAGCAUUCCUAGACGCAUAGAAAGAUAUUGAGAGUAAUAAGAUCGCGCUUGACAUGAUGGGUGCGCAUAUGGGAGAAGAGAUUUAGGCCCAAAGUGCAAAAUUCGGAAAUGGUUAGAGACGAUAGUGCAAUUAAUUCUAAGGUUAAGGAUCUGAUUGCGAAAUAAAAGAUUGGAUCCCAAGAGAAACUUCGGGUCGGGUAAAGAAUACGGACCAAUGGUGCAACUAAACAAGUAAGGAGCUCCUUCUAAAGUGAUGGAAGGUUUUGUAGGGUUCAUGUAGAAGUGUAAUGCACGCUGUGCCCAUGAGGCCCAUUAUUUAGAAAUUUUAUGUGGAAUUUGAAUUUACAAAUAAAAUUAAUUAGAAUGUGAAAUUAAAUUUAUAAUUUUUAUUCAAAUUUAAAGUAAAAUUUAAUUUUAAAAAUAAAUUCAUAUAUUAUUAAAGUUAAGACCAAAUAUAACCUCUUAAUUAAACUCUCCGCUUUCAAUGACUUCAAAAUCUUUUUAGCCAAAGUAAAAAAAAAUGAAAUUUAAUUAUAACUUACUUUAUCAGCACAGUUUUAUAAAGUGGGUUUUACAUUUAUUUUUAUAAAUCAAAUAAUCGAUAAUACGUUACAUUAUAAAAAUAUCACUUUUGAUACUUCACUCUCGACCAAUCAAACAUACCCUAAAUCAAAGUAAAAUGUUUAAGAGGAGAACAACUCUAUACAAGAUAAAACACCACAGAUGAUGUAACAUGCACAAAAGAUUCAGCUACAUAAGCACCCCAAAUAUAAUUAAGCACGGGAACAAGUACACAACCACCUUAAUAACUGAACUAGCACAAGAUCUAAAGAAAACCCUAGAAUAUAGCAGUUGCAUACGUGAUAUGAAGUCUAAACAAAUUAUUUUUCCUAGAAUUACUCAUUCUACCAUUGCUUCUUAAAAAAAAGAAUUAUUAUUACUAUACUUUUCUCUUCAAAACAAAAUGAUUCGUCAGAAAUAAAUAAUAUGACGUGACUGCUACAUAAUUAACUUCCUUUAAUAUUUGAGUGUUACUAACUGGCAUCAUAUAACAUCAAAAAUCAAAAAAGUUGGAUUAAUCGAGUGCUUUUUUUGCAUUUAGUCUCUUGACAAAUUUUUAUUUUAAAAAUAGUUCUGUUAAAAUUUAAUUUGCAAAAAUGAUUCUGGGCCUGUCACGCAGGCGCCACGUCAGCGCCACGCGGACGGGGCCAGGACCAAUGUGUUAAGUUAAACACAGUGAACCAUUCACCGUGUUUAGUAUGUAUUUUUUGUAUGUUGAAAAAAGUAAUACAUGGAGUAGGAAUGUCAAUAGGUAUGGAUAUCCGAAAUAUUAUCCGAACCCAAAUCUGAAUAAAUUAUAUAUAUAUAUAUAUAUAUAUAUAUAUAAUUUAUUCGGGUUUGGAUUCGGAUAAUAUUUCGAAUAUCCAUACCUAUUGACAUCUCUACUCUCUAUUCCUCUUUUCAACAUAUAAAAUAUACAUAGUAAACACGGUAAAUCAUUCACCGUGUCUAAAUACGGUGAAUAGUUCACCGUAUUUAACUUAACACAUUGGCCCUGGCCCCGCCCUCAUGGCGCUGACGUGGCGCCUGAUUCUUGUAAAUUAAAUUUUAAAAAGAUUAUUUUUAAAAUAAAAAUUUGCCAGCAGACUAUAUGCAAAACAAGCCCAUUAAUCGACAAAAUCUUAUAGAAGAGAAUUAUUCAUAGACAUAAUAUUUUUCUUAUUCAAAACAUCAAACAAAUCUUACAUAGACGCAAUACACAUAAAUAGUUAUUCAAAUUUUGUCGUGUUGGAUUUUAUUCUUUGGUUGCUAUCGCAGUAAUUAUAAAAAUUCGAUGUACGUACUAUAUUCUUUUGAAAAAUAUACUGUCGUAGCAGCGUAGGACUUUUUUUUGAUCAUGUUGGUAUGCUCAAGUUCUCUUUCGGGGCACGAUUCUCGCUCGGAGCGGCGUCUUCAUGACAACGCUGAACUCGACCUUUUCCGUCAUGUCGAUCUCCCCCCCCUUCCGCUGCCGGCUUCCACUCGAACUCCUUCACCAAAUUCGCAACAAAGUAUUCGAGGUGGAGCAGCGCGAGCCCCAUCCCGGGGCAAAUCCUCGGCCCCGCCCCGAACGGCAUCAUCCUGAUCUCCCGACCCCCCCUUAUGUCCACCCCCUCCCCCUCCCCGCCUUCCAGGAACCUCUCCGGUCGAAACUCCAUCGGCGCCGUCCACACCGCCCGGUCCCACCCUAUCUCCGCCACUGCAAAAGUCACCACCGCGCCCUUCGGAAUCCGAUACCCCUCGAAUUCUGCCUCCUCCGUCACUGUGUGCGGCGGCACAAAGUGCCCCGGCGGGUGCCGCCGCAGCCCCUCCAGCACCACCGCCUUCAGAUACGGCAUCCGCUGCAGAUCCUCCUCUCGCACCACCGUGUACUCGUUCGUCCCUACCACACGUUCAAUUUCCUCGUAUAGUUUCGACUGUAUGUCGGGACUUUUUACGAUGUUCGCCAUGAUCCACUGCAGCGCAGUGACGGUCGUGUCGGUGCCGGCGCUCAGAAACUCGGAGCAAAGGCUGACGAUCUCGCCGUCCGUCAGCUUCCUUCCGCCGUCCUCCGGAAUUUCAAGAUCGACCAGCGAGUCGACGUAUGAAUAAACGAAUCCGUCUUCCGACCGCUGCUGCCGCAGCAGCAGAUUCCUCCCGCAUCGAUCAGCGGAACGUACGUCUCCUCCUGCUUCCUCCGAAAAUCCAAAAGCUCCUUCCACCGGCUCCGGAAAAGCAGCUUGGUGAUCUUCGGAUACACGGCGAAGACGCCGAAGCUGAGGAAGUUGGUGAAGAGCUCCCUCUGCAAGGACGCGAUCUGGCGUAUCUCAUCGUCGAGCCACUCGCCGAAGCACAUGAAUGCGAGCAAGCUGAACACAGCGAACUGGAAGCUCUCCAUGACGACGACGGCAGCUGCACCGCCGCUCGAUUUGGUUUCAAGAUCUUUUAGGAGCACGUCGAGGACCUGUCGCCGCGCGGGGGGGUAGACGCCGCGCCGCGAGGGGUGCAGCACCUUCGUGGCAAGGUUGCGGCGGAAGGCGCGCCAGACAGGGCCGUAGGGGGCGCUGGUGACAUUGUGGCGGUUGCUGAAGAUGACGAGGCCGGGGUCGAUGGCCGGGGGACGGUCCGCGAACAUGGCGCCACGCCCGACCAGGGCGCGGUGGGCGAGCACGCGGUCGGAGACGAAGAUGGGCAGUCGGGGGAACGACAGCAGGCGGAAGCUGACGACCGGGCCGUGCUGGCUGUGCAGGCGGCGGAGGAAGGCCUCUAAGUCGAAUUCCAAUAGGCAGAAGAGCGCGAAAAAUGUGGCGAGGAUGGAGAGAGGCCGCGGGCCCGGCGGCAGGGGGAGGGAGGCAGUUUUGUGCUGCCGCGGCGGUGUCUGCAGGAGGGAGGAGAUAAAGAAGGUCAUCACAAGUAUGAGUAUGAAAAUGGCUAGUGCUGCAGGAUAGAAGAGCCAAUGUUCCUCCAUUCGUGCUGAGUGAGAGAAACGGAGAGCUAAGUGAGGGAGGCUGGCAGAUUUGCUUAUUUCGAUUACUACUAGUUUAUAUAGUUUUUUUUUCUUUUUCUUUUUCUUUUUCUUUUUCUUUUUUUUUUUUUUUGGCGUUUAGCACACUCAAUUUUUUUGGGUAAACUUUAAACACCAACUCUGUAGUUUCGCACUUUUUUACAUUAAUAUUAUGUGAUUUAAAGUGCAUCAAAUUAGUACCAUGUGGUUUUAUUUUUCUCUUCUAGUCAACUCCUCCAUUAAUAUUUCGUUAAAUUAUAUAUAAAAAACUUCAGAUACCGCACAUAGGUUUAUUCAAUAUUCCCCUUAGGGUGUGUUUGGUUCGGGUUAUCCAAGCAGGAUUACAGGCAGGAUUAUAGGCAAUCCAGGCAGGAUUACCGUGUUUAGUUCAUCCGAUAUGUAAUCAGGUUGUUAAUGUAGCAUUAUAAAUGGUGCAAGAUUACACCAAAAAUAUUAACAAGAGGGGGUGUGUAUUUUGCAUUACUGAAAGCCAGUAAUAUUGCAUAUUAUGUAAAAUAACAAUUUUAUUCCUCUAACUUUCGAAACUCUUUCAAUACGUCAAUUUAAAAAAUUUAAUUUAAAAUUUUGAAUUGUCAACUUUUAAAUUUUAAAUUUUGAAUUUUAAAUUUUUAAACUUCAAANUCAUAUUUCAUAUUUUAAAAUUCAAAUUUGUAUUUUAAUUUCUGAAUUUUAAAUUUAUAUUUUUAAUUUUUAAUUGUAUAUUUAUAUUCAUUUUUAUAUUUUAGAUUUUAAAUUUAUAAAUUUCACACUUAUAUUUUAAAUUAAAAUAUUUAAUUUAUAUUUUUGUUCAAAUUUAAAAUUUAAAAUUUAAAAUUUAAAAAAUUAAAUUAUUUAGAAUAAAUUUAGUAAAAAAAUAUUAUUUGUAAAUAGUAAAAAAAAAGAUUACAAAAUAUGACUAAGGGCAAUUUUGGAAUAGACUAUAUUUUAUUGUCUAACCAAACAUAAUAAUACUAUAAACACUGCAAUCUAGCAUUACAUUACUAUAUUAAAUCAAACGCACUAAUGCAACAUAAGUACUAAUCUCAUUUAGAAAUCCAAAAUACCUGAAUAUAUCGAAAUACUCUACAAUAUUAUAUAACUUGAACCAAACGCGCCCAUAGUAUCAUUUAGUUUUCACUUUGUCACUGAUUUAACGAAAUAAAAUUAGUAGAAUGGAUGAUAAAAAAAAAAAAAUGAAACCACCAAGUCCUAAGUGAGAAAGUGUGAAACUAUAAGAAUGGUAUUUGAAGUUUUUUCUUCUUUUUUCCAAUGGCCCUAACAAUUAUUCUUUUUUAUAUUCAACUUAAGCUACACCAUGAACAAAGCUCAUUAAUCAUAAUCUCGUAAUUAUAUGAUAUUUUUUCAAUUUCAAAAUAACAAAAAAUUUGUAAUUUAAUUAGAAAAAUAUAUAUCAUUAAAAUUAAUGUUAUUCGAUACGCACAUCCAAUGAGUAUCAUGAAGAAGGCCAUAUCUAUCUAUCUAUUAUCUAUAGAUAUAUAUAAUUUUGAGUUUUACUGUGGUCUACGUGUCUUCACUGUAUGUUGACACGUGUCCCAUCAACAAAUUAGGUAUAUUCGGUCCACCAGAGAUCUUAUAAAAACUUUUAUUUUAUUUUAAUGUAUAUUUCUAAAUUUUAUAAUUUUUAAUAUAUAGACUUUUAUAUUAUAAACUAAAUUUAAUUAAUUAAAUUUUAUUUUUAAAUUUAAAUUUACUGGUGUGCGUAUGAAAUGUAAAUAUACAUCAGGUGCAGGCAAUAAUUUCCAAUAGAGAGGAGCACUGAUUGUGGACAUGUGUCCAUUUUAUUGGCGCACCCGGUGCACCAUGGACCCAAUAAACAAAUAUAAUUUUAUUUUAGUGAAUAUAUCUAAAAUUUAUAAAUAUUAACAUAUAGAUACUUUAAAUACUAUAAAAUAAAUACCAUGGAGUGUAUGAGAUGUAUAUGUACACUAGGUGCAGUCAACAAUUUCAUUAAAGGGUGCAGUCAACAGUUCCAUUAUUAAAGGCCAAGUGCCCAUUGUGGAACACUCUUCAUUUGUUGACACGUGUUCCAUCUAUUAAUUCAGUGUACCUGGUGCACCAUAAAUGCUAUAAAAAAUUUUAUUUCAUUUUAAUAUAUAUAUAUAUAUAUCUAAAUUUUAUACUUUUUAAUAUAUAAACAUUCAAAAUACUAUAAAAUAAAUUUAAUUAAUUUUAUUUUCGACAUUUCUAUCAUAUAAAUUUACUGGUGUGUAUGAAAUGUACACAUACACCAGGUGCAGGCAAUAAUUUUCAAUAGAGAGGAGUAUUAUUUUGUGGACAUGUGUCCAUUCCAAUUGGUGCACCCGGUAAACCAUGGACCCAAUAAGAAAAAUAUAAUUUUAUUUUAGUUAAAUAUCAAAAAUUUAUAAAUAUUAACACAUAUAAAUUUUAAAUAUUAUAAAAUUAAUAAAUUAAAUUUGGCAUCUCUAUUGUACAAAUUUAUUGGUUUAUAUGUGAUGUAUAUGUACACUAGGUGCAGUCAAUGAGUUCGACUAAAGGCCACUUUGAAUUAAGCCGACAACUAUUUUAAUUUGAUUAAUAUCUUAUCAACUUUUAAUUGUUUCAAUUUGAGCUAUUUUUUAAAUUGAUCGGAAGAUUUGUUAGAUUUAAUAGUUUCAUUGCCUAUCAACUAUUAAACCAAUUGGAGUACUCUUCCACUUUUUGUCAAUUAUUUAUUGUAAGUCAAAAUUUAAGAAAAUUGUAUCUAAUUUUUCUAACAUUGGUGCUUAAUUUUGCUAAAACUGGGAUUUCUUACAAAAUUAUGUAUAUAUUCAUAAAUUCUAGAAAAACAUCAUAAAAUCAGUCAAUUAAAAAACUACAAAUUAAGUAACUAUUUUUUAACUUGUCAUAGUAUUUUCAAUUCUCAAUAUUGCUUACAUGGGUCGACAAAAAUGACCAGAAUAGAGUUAGAAUAAUAAAAAGUAAAAGAAUACAAAAUAGAGAUAUAUAUCUUUUGGACAAAUUGGCCGAGAAAAUAAGCAUAUUACAAACUUUCCUCAUUUUGCUUUAGAAAAUUUUGAAAGUUUACGAAACCCUAAAAAUCUAAAUAGAAACUAUCAAAUAUCCAGAGACAAAACUGUAUUUUGGAAUCAAAUGUUGAUAAAAAUAUGUAUUUAAUAUAUAUAUAUAUAUUUAGAAUAGGUAGCGCGCUACAAGCUUUAUUCAUUGGAUGGAUGAACUAGGCUACAGAGGUGAGGCAACCAGGGCCUCUGAAGAUAAAAAAAAAAAAAAAAAAACCGCUAAUGUCGUUCGAGGAGGAUUUCCCACGAAUGUAGUAACAAUUUAAGCCUUUGUACGGCCAAAAUCGGAUCAGGUAGGAUGUUUCGAAAAAUCAGAUCAUUUUUGACCUUCCAAAUCGUCCACCAGCAGGCAACGAGUUCCGGGAGGCUGUUGCUCUUAGUAUGCCCUCCUUUCCUAAUCUUCCACCUAUCCCAGACUUGAUACACCUCGUCCCCUAGCUCUCCUGCCGGCGCUCCCUCCAUACCCAUGACCAUGAUGAACUUGAAAAAAACGCAAUGAGUGAAUAUAUGAUCCACCGUCUCAUCAUGGGCUCUGCAUAGCACACAGACUGUGUCGCCAGUCCACCCCCGCUUUACAAAGUUAUCUGCUGUAAGGGUCUUUUUCUUCAGGACCGGCCAAGAAAAUACUUUGACCUUGAGCGGUAGUCGGAGGGUCCACAUCUUUAUAGCUCUUUCGUCCCUCGUUCCCCCGUCACUCAACAUAGUGAAGGCCGAUUUGACCGAAAAAUCACCGUAGACACUCCAUCUCCACCAUAGCUUAUCCGGUCUUUGCAUUACUUUAUAACUACCAAUCUCAUUCUUGAGUGCCAACAGGUUGGCCGUCAGUCCUGUCGUAUUCUGCGACUCGUCGCCAAGAAUUUUCGGCCAAUUCCAAACCUCCCUAUCGUAGCAAUCCCUAACCGAAAGGGGUUUACGAUUAGUCAUCGCAUAGAUCUCCGAGAAUGACGCUUUGAGAGUGGAGUCCCCACACCACCAAUUUGACCAAAAGUCAAUAGAGCUCCUAUUGCCCAGUUUAUAGGAAAUACCCCAAUCGAAGAUAAAAUUGGUGUGGACUCCCGUCCACCAAUACGAGAGGGGUCUAAAGCAUUUUCCUUCCCUCAGAGGUCGUCUUCUUUGGUAAUACAAUUCUCGAAUAAUUUUGACCCACUGCAGGUGUGGAGCUGUGUGAAAUCUCCACAACCAUUUGACCAGGAGAGCUCGAUUCAUGAUCUCCACGUCUAGAAUGCCAAGCUCACCUUCACUCUUGCUCACACAAACGUUCUUCCAUGCAACAAGGCACCCCUUGCCCGAGGAGAUACUUUGACCACUCCAGAAGAAAUCUCUGCGUAUAGCUUCAAUGGGGUCGAUCACCGAUUUGGGUGCCUUUAAUACCGAAAGAAAAUACAGAGGUAGGUUGGUGAGAACAUCGUUGACCAGGAUGAUUCUACCCCCUCGUGAUAGAANGCCACUAAACAACCUCUGCCAGGAUAGUUCCUAUUACCCUUCCAAAAGAAGUCUCUGCGUAUAGCUUCAAUGCUCUUGAUCACCGAUUUGGGUGCCUUUAAUACCGAAAGAAAAUACAGAGGUAGGUUGGUGAGAACAUCGUUGACCAGGAUGAUUCUACCCCCUCGUGAUAGAAGCUUGGCUUGCCAUCCAUCAAUUCUAUUCAGCAAUUUCUGAAUGAUCCCUCUCCAUACCUCCUUUGUGGGGGGUUUAGGGGAGAGAGGAAAGCCAAGGGAAGUGGUAGGGAGAGAACCCACUGUAUAGCCGAGAAUUUUCGCAAGUCUAUCCGUUUUGCCCUCAGCCUGUCCAAGGUAGUAGAGUUCGAACUUCUCGCUAUUAAUUUUCAAUCCCGAAGCCCACUCGAAAAGCUGCCACAUCAGUCGGAGAUUUCACAUAUAUCUUUUCCUAGCCUCAGAGAAGAAGAAAAUAUCAUCCGCAAAUUGUAUGAGACUAGUUUUGCUUUCGUUAGACGGCCCAAUACCCUUAAAUAGGUUGUUAGAAAUGGCCUCGUUGGUCAUUCUAGAAAGACAUUCCGCCACCAUCAGAAACAGGAGUGGUGAUAAAGGGUCUCCUUGGCGUACUCCUCUUCGUCUUGAUCCACUUGGUCGCCUCACCAUUGACCAAAAUGGCAACCUUAGCGUUGCACACACACUGCUUGAUCCACCUACACCAUUUUUCGUCAAAUCCCCACCACUGAAGAACACUUUGAAGAAAGGGUCAGUGAAUCCUAUCAUAUGCUUUCUCGAAAUCCACCUUUAUACCGACCCCCUCGAAAUUCUUCUUGCUACCCCACCCCAGGAUUUUUGAGACAGUGACAAAAGCAUCAAUGAUGCUCCUCCCCUUCACAAAUGCGAAUUGGGUAGGGGAUAUAAGAUCACUCAGGACCUCUGUGAGUCGGUUGGCUAGGACCUUCGACAGGAUUUUCUGUACGCCGUUAAGGAGGCUAAUUGGUCAAAAGUCGUUCGCUCUCUCGGCCCCUUCCUUUUUCGAAAUAAGGCAUAUAAAGGUGUAAUCGAUUGAGGCAGUGGACAGUGAACCCUCGUAGAUUUCCUGGAACAGGUUUAGCAAAUCGAUCUUAAUGGUGUCCUAAAAGGUUUGGUAAAACCUUAAUGGGAAUCUGUCCGGGCCCAGAGCUUUAUCACUUCCCAGUUGGAAAACCGCUUGCCUUAUUUCGGUCAUGCUGAAAUUUUCCGUUAGCCUCCUGAGCAUAGGGGCUGAAAUGUGGUUUGUGGUAAACAGCCUACUCCAAUCCCCGACAGUAGACGGCGCCGACUCAUCUGGCGUGUAUAGCUCUUUAAAUUUUUGAUAAAAAUACUCUUCUUUUUCCUUUUCUGAUUGGUAGACAAGUCCAUUGUCGACAACCACUCCAAUCUCGUUGGCUCGCCUUCUCCCAUUAGCUAUGCUAUGGAAGUAUUUUGUGUUACUAUCUCCCUCCCGCAACCAGUCCUGAUUCGCUCAGGCCCUCCACAAGGCAGCUUCAUCGUUCAGGACCCGUCAUAACUUCUCUUUUAGCUCGUCUCUUUUCGCACCUAAUUCCGCUAAAAGUACGCCUUGUUCCUCGGCUCGGUCAAUCUCUUGAAUUUCACACAUAAGGAAAUUUUUGACCCCUCUAAUACUAUAGAACUCGUUAUUGCACCAUUCUUUAAUUCUAUGCCGACAGUGCCUCAACUUUGCAGUGAAAGUAAGUACUGCUGAAUUUUUCGAAGCACCCUCCUUCCAUCAAUCCGGUAGCUUGGCUAUGAAGCCCUCAUGGUUGAGCCAUACUUCCUCAAAGCGAAAAUAAUUCUUCCUCCCCUUGUUUCUCCUCUCAAUUGUUAAAAGAAUGGGGCAAUGAUUCGAAGUAACGCGAGGAAGAACUUCCACUUUGGUCAACGAGAAAUCCAUGUCCCACUCCGUCGACACUAGGAAUCGAUCAAGUUUCGCGAGGAUUGGGGUAUCUUGCAUGUUGGACCAAGUGUAGGAUUGAUUCAUCAAAGGUAGGUCGAUUAGCGCUAAAUUUCUGAUGAGGUCAUUAAAUAGCGCCAUCGCUCUAGCGCUCUAGGUCUUCCCCCUCCUCUCCUCCUGCCUCCUAAUGUUGUUGAAAUCGCCGCAAAUGAUCCAUUUUCCUUCACAUUCUGUUUUCAAUUGAGCCAGUUCCGAAAAGAACUCCUCCUUCCGAUCCCAAAUUGCAGGCCUGUACACGUUUGUUAGAUAAAAGCUUUUCCCAGACUUAACAUGAGAUAGUAGAGUAGUAAUCGAAAAUUUUCACACUAAGACAUCAAGACAGGAAUACGAGUGCGAGCUCCAACACGUAAUGACUCCCCCGGAGGCACCCUCCGCUUCAAGAUAGGCACACUUGUUAAGAAGAGAGCCACCAAAACCACGCAAGAAAGAGCCAGACACUGAACUCACUUUCGACUCUUGCAAACAAACUACCACACUACUCAGCUUAGACAGUACCGCCCUAACGGCGUUAUGCUUAGAGAGGCUGUUAAGUCCUUUUACAUUCCAGCUACAAACACUAAUCAUAGAAAAAAGAAGAGACACCCAACCUAGUAAAACCCCAAAAUGGUGCCUACGAUCCCGAACCAACAGUCCGCCUACACACGCAAAGUCAGGAACUUGGCGAAAUCCUUCGCCUCGUCUUCUGCCAAUUUCACACCACAUCUGCGGCUCUUGCCAAUGAGUUUCUUAAUGAUGCAGUCGACCCCACUCCCAUCUCCGCCCUCGCAUUGGAUGGCCUUCCUUGACAUUGCCUGAUACAGCACUGGAGUCUUCCCAGCAUGCUCGAGUCGCUUGCUGACCCGAGGAACAAAACGAUCCGUCGAGGCAUUCCCAUUAACCGGUGGUGCAGUUCCAUGGUUAUGCUCUCCCUAGCCCUCGACCCGGCCCUUGUGGCCAUCGCUCGCCGCCCUGGAGAACCCAGUCAAAGAGAAAAACUCCGAUUGUAGCCCCAGCACCUCCUCUCUGUAGUCAAAAGAAACUCCCUCCCUUUUGCCACUAUCCCGUAUCAGCGGUAACAUGCUGGCCGUCCCCUAUCCAAAAACUACUGUACGUGCGGCUACCCACACAGUCCACCGUUGAAGAAAAUUCAAGCCCAAGGCCCACCCACCAGUCCCAGCGUCGCCCACAAACAGUAAAGGGCCCGGAGUUGGUUCUGGGGCUAGAAAGCAGGCCUACAGCCCUACUGUUAGCCCAAAUCCAUAGAAAAAGACCCGCUUCCUGCCACAGCCACUAUUGCACACAGAGUCCAUCUUUAGCCCCGUGUCGGAACUCGUCAUCAGUUGCUGGCUCGUCUAUCGAGGCCUCGGCAUCGGUAGAAGACGUAGGUCAAAACAUUCCUCGGGACCCUCAACUUUGGGACCUGCAAAAAGCACCUCCCAAGUCUCCAUCCCUAGCAAAGGUGGGGAGUUAUUAUGCUCCCUAACCCCUUUCAACCCAGACACCAUCUUCGUGCAAUCUUUGGGAAAGUCCCUCCUCCCUACCUGCUUCGAUCCCGACGCUUCUCCAACCUCGAAAACAGCGCCGGCCUUGCCCGUUGGCCGUCGAGUUCUCCCGCCUUACGCCUUCGUCCACCCCGUCAACCGGCUAUCUCCUCCCCCGUUUGGCAUCUUCCAGCUGGAAUCACGACGGACUCGAAACCCAGACCUCCCAGGUUUCGUCGUCCCUCCGCUCGCCGACUUGGAACAUCAGGUCACCCCGACCUCGUUAGUCGUGCGGGUCUGCUGCGGAGACCCCACUUCCUCGAGCUCCCCCGCUUCGUCGUCCAAGUCGUCGUUCGCGUUCGCUUGGCCGGUUUCAUUUUGUUGUCCGUUAUCUGCUUCUUCCUCGUCCACCUCCCCUCCCUCAGGCCCAUUUUGCGGAGGGAUCGGUGGAUCACCUCCCCCUCCUGCUUCCAUCCUCUCCCAACUGUCCAGCAGGACCAUGACAUCAAAAGUUUCAUUACCUAAUACUACUGAAAAGUUUUGAGGAAUAUCCAUCAGCGAAUCAAACACGAUCUGGCACCGAUAAGCUCGGAGGUCCGUCAAGGCUUUAGAAGUGGCAUCUGCCUUCACGAACCUCCCAAACCCACUUACAAUUGCCGCCACACGGGGGAUCGUCCAAAUCUCGAAGGGCAGGUUAAGCAGACGGAUCCAUGCUCGGUACGUCGAUCUAUGCGGGCGGGCGUUCCAGUAUUGCCUCCACGGAUAGCACCUAAUCCAGAAAUUGCCAAGCGUGAGCACCUCCCUUCUAAUUAGGACGUCCGCCGGGACCCAUUCAAGUAGGAAUAUCACAUACUCCCUGUGACGCCCCAACUUCCUAGGGGGUCACCCAUCCUAGGACUACUCCCGUCCUAGCACGCUUAACUCUCUUAACCUCUUGGGCCUUGCCACCACCCAAAAUGUUUAAGUUGGGUUAAGAGUUUAGCCCUAUUAUAUCUCAUAUAUAGGACUAUCUGGGGUCUCACAAUCUCCCCUCCUUUAAGCCCUGACGUCCUCGUCAGGCUCAGACUCACAAGUACCAGGCGAUGUGAGACUCAUCUCGCUAGCCCGUCAUCCAGACCCUGGCUCAGCCGAGACUCAUCUCACACUUCCGGCUGGUAAUUGGCUCUGAUACCAUCUGUGACGCCCCAACUUCCCAGGGGGUCACCCAUCCUAGGACUACUCCCGUCCUAGCACGCUUAACUCUCUUAACCUCUUGGGCCUUGCCACCACCCAAAAUGCUUAAGCCGGGUUAAGAGUUUAGCCCUAUUAUAUCUCAUAUAUAGGACUAUCUGGGAUCUCACACUCCCUCUCCCUAUAUCUUGCGACCGCAAAGUCGUCAACGUAUCCCCCGAAUUGCCUAGCUAACGCCGCUUUGAUGGAAGAGAUUGGGUCAGGUCGCAGAAUCGCCUAUGUAUUUAAUAUAUAUUUAAUAAUAAUAUGAAUGAGGCUACUGUACUAUGUAUACUACUGUAGCUUUGGUACUAUAAUUUUAUUUUCGAUCUUAGGGUGUUAAAAUCAAUAAUUCACACUAUCAAAUAUGAUCUAUGAUAUAUGAAGUUGUUAGAAAUAAAAUUUUAAUUUUUUUCAACAUCGUUUACUUAGUAAGUAAAUCAUGUCAAAAUGAACGGUAGAAAUUAAAUAAUCUUUAAAAUUUAAGGAUAGAACUUUUGAAUUUAAAAUUAUGGAUCCAGACUUUGAUCUAGAUAAUUUAAAAUAUUUUCUAUCAAAAUUUGAAUAAAUUUAGAUUCUUUUACACUGUCAAACUAUAAACUCACCGUAGUAGCCAUUAAAAAUUAACAAGUUUGAAAUAUAAAAUUCUAUUUCUAAAAAUUUUAAAUAUCAUAGAUCAGUUUUAACAGUGUAGUUCGUUAAUUUAAAUACCCUAAAAUCAAAAAUGAUACGAUAGUACUGGAGCCCCGAUAAGUUAAAUAGUAUAGAAGCCUAGUCCAUAAUAUAUACUAGGCCUUUUUGCAUAAAAAAUCCACUUAUUUUGGGCUUUUGCAAAAUCGGGUCACUUUUUUCGUUUUUGCAGAUUCGGUCCGUUUUUUAGUAAACUGACCAAAAUAUCCUUAUUACUUUUUCUCUUUCCUCUUUCUCUCUCCUCUUCGUUUCUUCCGUUAUUUUUUUUUUCUUCUUUUUUCGAGCCCCUCCUCGCCUCCGCAAGCCGAACCCUCCUCCUCCCCCCGCCGUCGCCGCCGAGCCCACCCCACCGUCAUCUCGCCUCCUCUUCUCUCUCCUCUCUUUCUUUCCUCCUCACCUCCCCGUCGCCUCUCUCAGAGCCCGCCUGCUGAAGCUCCGCGUGCUCCUCUCUCCGGCCUCAACAAGUCCGAAACACGUCGCCGCGAUCAGUCACCGAAGUUGCUAGGGCGCGAGUAAGGCUCCUCGUCAAAGCCUCCAAGGCGAGGCAGUCCCGAGUCUCCCUUUCACGCGGAAGGCUCUCGCCGCCGAAGCCCUCCUCCCUCUCCCCCGCCGCCGCCAGCCGAGCCCCACCCCCACGAUCGUCCUCCACUCGCCUGUCGCGUCGCCAAAGCACGGUUCCGCCCUUGCGACGCCUCAUCACAAUCCUUGCUAGCCCUCGUCACCCCCGACGGUCGUCCUCCGUCCGCCGUCACGUCGUCUCCGUUGCUGUCGCCAAGCUCCAGCCCAAUAAUGUGUUGUGGUUGAAUUGUGCACCAUUGCACCAUCCUACACCAGUUAAAUGAUGCAUGGUGCACCAUUAAUGGUGUCGUGUGUAAUGGUGCAAUGUGCCCACCAUUAGUGUAAUGGUUGCACCCAUUGCACCUUACACAUAUCAAUGCGUUAUGUAAUAUCAUGGUGUAUGGUGUAUAUGGUGCACCAAUUAGCUGUAAUGGUGCACCCAUUGCACCAAUUAACCAUUAUUGAUUACCACAUAAUGGUGUAAUGCCUGCACCAUUACCACUAUUGAAGAAGAAGAAGAAGCUUGCGCUGCAGGCGCGCCCGCGUGUCCGCCCGUCGCCGCCUGCAGUGCACGCCCCGCCCGAACCUCUGACCCGCACCGCGGCUGCCAGCGCCGCGCCGCCAAGGAGCAGCCCGCGAUGCAGCCGCCUUCCCCCGCCUUGCGCGACGCCUCAAGCCGGCUGUCGUCGGCCCCGCGGCCCGGGGGCCGACAGAUCGGCAGCGAAACCCAAGCAGCAGCCGGAGCGAGCGUCCGACCGGCCUUGCGCGAAUGGCGAGUGCAAAGCAGGCGACGCCGGUACGCUGUCGGACCGGACAGUCGGCCGGGGCCAAUCCGGGAUCGCCUCCGCUUCCAGCCCGCCAGGCGAAGAACUCCGCCAGCCUCUUCCUCCGCCGCAGCCGCGCGACAGCGACGUACACUCGCGUACGGCUGGGCGGCAGACGAGUGGUUCCUGGCAACGGAGACGGACGUUCGACGGCGGCCAUGGGGGCCGCCGCGCCAUCGGCAGUGGAUCUCGCGGCGACGCGACGGAUCGACAAAGAACCCGGUGGGGGGGUGGCUCCGGCAGCCGGCCAGCGUGGAUAAGGAUGGAGGUUCGUGCGGCGCGGCUGGAGAGUGAGGGUCGAGUGCAGGAGGCAACGUGUUUGAAGACAGCGAGGGUGAGUACGGGGGCGACGGUCCGAUCGCCACUCUUUUUUUCGGGCAAAGAAAAAAAAAGAACGACAAAAUCGAUAGAGGAUAAGAGAAAGAGGGGAAAGAGGAAAAAGUUAAUACAGGGUAUUUGGUCAGUUUGCUGAAAACUGCGGACCGAAUCUGCCCCAAAGAAAAAGGUGGCCGAUUUUGAAAAGUCCAAAAUAACGUGGAUUUUUUAUGCAAAUUGGCCUAUAUACCUAAUUUUUAAUAUAAUUAAAAUAUAAUCAUCAUACCUACAGCAAAGUAUGAUUGCAUCCGCUAGUUUAAGACUAUGGAUGUAGCAAAAUGUGGACAACACACAUGUUGGCAGGUAAAAAUGUACUGGAGACCUUCAAUAUAGGAAAUGUGAAAUAGACCCUCAGCUUUAAUAUUUUUUUUUUUUUUUUUCGUGCGCAAGCUUGGCUUCAUAUGUUUAGCGGUAAAUAUUUGGUGGCAGAACCGCUGUCGCAAAGAUAAGCAUUUUAAAAUUAUAAAAUUAAUUUCUAGAAUAUUUAAAAUAUAUUUAAUAUAUUAAUGGUAAUAAAUCGUUAUUAUCAGAAACUAUAUUAUCCCAAAAUAACUUGGUGAAUAGCCGACACCAAAUUGUUACUAAUAUNNNNNNNNNNNNNNNNNNNNNNNNNNNNNNNNNNNNNNNNNNNNNNNNNNNNNNNNNNNNNNNNNNNNNNNNNNNNNNNNNNNNNNNNNNNNNNNNNNNNNNNNNNNNNNNNNNNNNNNNNNNNNNNNNNNNNNNNNNNNNNNNNNNNNNNNNNNNNNNNNNNNNNNNNNNNNNNNNNNNNNNNNNNNNNNNNNNNNNNNNNNNNNNNNNNNNNNNNNNNNNNNNNNNNNNNNNNNNNNNNNNNNNNNNNNNNNNNNNNNNNNNNNNNNNNNNNNNNNNNNNNNNNNNNNNNNNNNNNNNNNNNNNNNNNNNNNNNNNNNNNNNNNNNNNNNNNNNNNNNNNNNNNNNNNNNNNNNNNNNNNNNNNNNNNNNNNNNNNNNNNNNNNNNNNNNNNNNNNNNNNNNNNNNNNNNNNNNNNNNNNNNNNNNNNNNNNNNNNNNNNNNNNNNNNNNNNNNNNNNNNNNNNNNNNNNNNNNNNNNNNNNNNNNNNNNNNNNNNNNNNNNNNNNNNNNNNNNNNNNNNNNNNNNNNNNNNNNNNNNNNNNNNNNNNNNNNNNNNNNNNNNNNNNNNNNNNNNNNNNNNNNNNNNNNNNNNNNNNNNNNNNNNNNNNNNNNNNNNNNNNNNNNNNNNNNNNNNNNNNNNNNNNNNNNNNNNNNNNNNNNNNNNNNNNNNNNNNNNNNNNNNNNNNNNNNNNNNNNNNNNNNNNNNNNNNNNNNNNNNNNNNNNNNNNNNNNNNNNNNNNNNNNNNNNNNNNNNNNNNNNNNNNNNNNNNNNNNNNNNNNNNNNNNNNNNNNNNNNNNNNNNNNNNNNNNNNNNNNNNNNNNNNNNNNNNNNNNNNNNNNNNNNNNNNNNNNNNNNNNNNNNNNNNNNNNNNNNNNNNNNNNNNNNNNNNNNNNNNNNNNNNNNNNNNNNNNNNNNNNNNNNNNNNNNNNNNNNNNNNNNNNNNNNNNNNNNNNNNNNNNNNNNNNNNNNNNNNNNNNNNNNNNNNNNNNNNNNNNNNNNNNNNNNNNNNNNNNNNNNNNNNNNNNNNNNNNNNNNNNNNNNNNNNNNNNNNNNNNNNNNNNNNAUUCGAAAGUCGCAACAUCGAAAAUGAGCUGGAAGCAUGGAAGGCUCCGUGCUUCCGAUAGCAUAGUAGCCUCUCUCUCUCUCUCUCUCUCUCUCUAUAUAUAUAUAUAUAUAUAUUUAUAUAUUACAUUACUUUUGUUUUUUAAAAAAUAUUGAUUUAAACUAUUCAGAUGUUGUUUAAUUUUCUUAAAAAAGUCAUGUAAAACUUUUUUUGGUUAAAUAACUGCACAUAUUUUAUAAAAUUAAUGUUAUAAAUUUUUAAAUAAAAAUUAAAAAAAGACAAAAAUAAGCUGGUCCAUGGCCCGAGACUGUUCGGCCUGGUUUAGAUUUGUUUCGACUAGGGCCCAUAUCGGCCCAUGGUUAAGGAAAAAGUGGCCCGGCUUGUAGAGAUGUCGAUGGGUCGGUUUCGGGGGGAAUUUUUCAAAACCUGAAAAAAGAUAAUUCGAUGGGUCGGUUUCGGGGCGAUAUGGUCACGAACUGUGAUUCGAUUGAUGAUGAAAAAAGAGAAUUCUUGGUUUAGUUCUCCACCUUAAUGACCGAAAAAAGGAUCGAUCAAAUUCUACCAGUCUAACUCAUAAUGAUCAUAUAUCAAAGAAUGAUUCUAAUUAUCAAAUGAUUAAAUAAUCGGGAUCAAUUUACUUACGUUACGUUACUUGACAUUCCUAAAAAGUAUCUAAUGAAUUAUUAGUUCAAUCCCUAAUCCCAAUCCAUGCCAUGCCAUGCCAAGCUGGCCAAUAGAGAUGUCAAUGGCAUGAUCAGAAAAUCUCAAUAUAAGGACACUUUUUAGACAACACAUAAGAAAAGCAUUCCCAGAACGUCUAUACAAUAUAGCAAAUACCGAGCUUCAAAAAAUGUCGUUAUAUGAACUCUUUAUUGUAUCGAACCAAUUUAUUAAAUGAUAAUUUUCUAAUACUUUAAAGUGUCAAAAUUUUAAAAAAUCCUGUAAAAUAUAUUUUAUCGAUGCUUGACAUAUAUGUACGCGGUGACUCUUCAGUUGUUGAUGGUUUCAAAUUUAACGUUAGUCUACAUUGGGACACUUUUAACCAUCAUUAAUAAAUACAAAAAAAAAAUGUAUGGGGACCUCUCAAAUAUAGGGAUUUGUGAAGUAGGCCCCUCAGCUUUAAUUAUUAUUAUUAUUUUUUUUUUGUUGACACGCUUUAGCUUCUAUGUUUAGGUAAAUAUUUGUAGAGAACCCCAUGAACUAUAAGCAAUUUUGAAAUUAUAAAAUUUAGUUUCUAGAAUAUUUAAACAUUUUAAAAUAUAUUUAAUAUUACUUUUGUUUUUUUUUUUAAUAUUGAUUUAAACUAUUCAGAUUUUGUUUAUUUUUUCUUAAAAAAGUCAUGUAAAACUUUUUUUUGGCUAAAUAACUGCACAUAUUUUAUAAAAUUAAUGUUAUAAAUUUUUAAAUAAAAAUAAAAAAAGGAAAAAAAAGACAAAUAUAAGAUGACCCAUGGCCCGAGACUGUCCGGCCCGGUUUAGAUUUGUUUCGACUAAGGCCCAUACCGGCCCAUGUUUAAGGAAAAAGUGGCCCGGCUUGUAGAGAUGUCGAUGGGUCGGAUUCGGGGAGAGUUUUUCAAAACCUGAACCUGAAUCCGUACCGACAGAUUUUAAAAAUUUAUAUCCUAAUCUGAAUCUUACCAAAAAGACGAAACCCAAAACUGAAUCCAAACUCGAAAUAAUUAUUUUUCUUUACCAUAUUUCAAAUUAUAUUAAAACCUAAAUUUUUAAAAUACAAAUUCAAAUAUAAUAUCAAAUACUAUAUAUAUUCUAUUAAAAAAUAUAAAAUUAAUUCAGGUUCAAGUCUGAUAGGAUAAAAUUCAGAUUAGGCUCUAAUCAAAUUCAUAUUAAUCACGAUAAAAUAAGUUACGUCAGCUCCAAAUAAAGUCCUACCUACUAAUAUAGAUUACGGUUAUGAUUAAAUAGCUUCAGAUCAAUCUUGUCUCGAUAUUAAUUUUUCUAACUUUUGAAAGAAUAUGAUAACACUCGUAACUCGACGUUGAGGAUGCCUACUACUCCAAAAGAGAUAGCAGGUGUCGUGUACAAUGUCGAAGCAUUGGUAGACGUAUAGAAAAAUAUUGAGAGUGAUAAGAUCGCGCUUGGCAUGAUGGGUGAGCGUAUGGGAGAGAAAAUUAAUUCUAAAGGUUAAGGAGCUCCUUCUAAAGAGAUCGAAGGUUUUUUAGGGUUCAUAUAGAAGUGUCAUGUGGGGCCCAUAUAUUUUUUUUGGGGGGUUGAACUGAGAGAUCUAUUCAUUGAUCAAAAAAAGAAAAAAUGUGAACGGUGACUAAACUGAUGAUAAAAUAAAAUCCUAGGUCAUGAACUGUGAUUCGAUUGAUGAUGAAAAAAGAGAAUUCUUGGUUUAGUUCUCCACCUUAAUGAUAGAAAAAAUGAUUGAUCAAAUUCUAUCAGUCUUACUCAUAAUGAUCAUAUAUCAAAGAAUGAUUCAAAUUAUCAAAUGAUUGAACAAUCAUGAUCAAUUUACUUACGAUACUUAGUUGACAUUCCUAAAAAGUAUCUAAUGAAUUAUUAGUUCAAUCCCUGAUCCCAGUCCAUGCCAUGCCAAGCCGGCCAAUAGAGAUGUCAAUGGUACUAUCAAAAAAUCUCAAUAUAAAGACACUUUUUAGAUAAUGCAUGAGAAAAGCAUCCCCACAACGUCUCUGCAUUAUAUCAAAUACCGACGCUUCAAAGGAUGUCGUUAUAUUAACUCUUUAUUUUAUCAAACUAAUUUAUUAAAUGUUAAUUUUCUAAUGCUUUCAGGCGUCAAAAUUUUAAAUAAUCCUGUAAAAUAUAUUUUACCGAUGCUUGACAUAUAUAUACGCGGCGACUCUUCAUUUGUCGAUACUUUCAAAUAUAACGUUAGGCUACAUCGGGACACUUUUAACCAUCAUUAAUAAAUACAAAAAAAAUGUAUGGAGACCUCUCAAAUAUAGGGAUUUGUGAAAUAGACCCCUCAGCUUUAAUUAAUUAAUUAAUUUUUUUUGUUGACACGCUUUAGCUUCUAUGUUUAGCCGUUUAGGUAAAUAUUUGUAGAGAACCCCAUGACCUGUAAGCAAUUUUGAAAUUAUAAAAUUUAGUUUCUAGAAUAUUUAAAUAUUUUAAAAUAUAUUUAAUGGUAUGGACUGUUAUUUCAGAAACUCUAUCAUCGAAAAUAACUUGUGAGUACAUACAAAUUGUACUAAUAUAGUAUAGUAGCCUCUCUCUCUCUCUCUCUCUCUCUCUCUCUCUCUUUAUUUUCUAAGUACUUCAAAUACUAUAAAUCAAGUUUAAUGGAGCCGAUCGACGAUUCGAAAGUCGCAACAUCGAAAAUGACCUGAAAGCACAGAAGCUCCGUGCUUCCAGAAGCAUAAUAGCUCACUUUUAUAUAUAUAUAUAUAUAUAUUAUAUAUAUAUAUAUAUAUAUAUAUAUAUAUAUUAUAGCGUUGAGCUAUGAUAUUACUUUUACAGAGUAUCACCCAUCAUGGUGCUAUUAGGUUUUAAGCAUUGGAUCUACUUUUUUAUUAUUAAUAGCCCGUUAGAUUAAACACUAUUCUACCUACCACAACUACCACCAUCAUUUCAACCUCACAUCUCUCCAUCAAGGGCUAAAAAACACAAUAUCCACCCCAUGAUACUUUAUACAAGUAUUAUAGCCUACUCUAUAUAUAUUAUAUAUAUAUAUAUAUAUAUAUAUAUAUAAAUAAUAUAUAUAUAGCUAGGCUACUAUACUCUUAUGAGUACAGCUCCUUUUGUAUCAUAAUUUCCGACCAUUGAUGAAGAAUGUGCGAUUUGAUGAUAGUGGUCCCUAGGGUUUGAGUGGAUGGUUGUGUUGAAUAGCAUGAUCUAACGGAUGAAAAUGAUCAAGAACUAGAUCUAGCGACCAAAACUUAUAAGUACAAAGGAACUACUUAAAAGAAGUAUAGUAGCCGGACUUAUAUAUUAUAUAUACUAUAUAUAUAUUACUUUUGUUUUUUUAAAAAUAUUGAUUUAAACUAUUCAGAUUUUGUUUAAUUUUCAUAAAAAAGUCAUGUAAAACUUUUUUUUGGCUAAAUAACUGCACAUAUUUUAUAAAAUUAAUGUUAUAAAUUUUUAAAUAAAAAUAAAAAUAAAAGAAAAGAAAAGACCAAAAUUAGCUGACCCAUGCCCCGAGAUUGUCCGGCCCGGUUUAGAAUUAUUCGACUAGGGCCCAUAUUGGCCCAUGGUUAAGGAAAAAGUGGCCCGGCUUGUAGACAUGUCGAUGGGUCGGAUUCGGAGGGAGUUUUUCAAAACUGAACCUGAAUCCGAACCGACAGAUUUUAAAAAUUUAUAUCCUAACCCGAAUCUGACCAAAAAGACAAAGCCCAAAUCUGAACCCAAACUCGAAAUAAUUAUUUUUCUUUUCAUAUUUCAAAUUAUAUUCAAACCUAAAUUUUUAAAAUACAAGUUCAAAUAUAAUAUCAAAUACUAUAUAUAUUAUAUAAUAUAAAAUUAAUUCAGGUUCAAGUUGGAUAGGAUAAAAUUCAUACCCGACUCUAAUCAAAUUCACAUUAAUCGCGAUAAAAUAAGCUACGUUAACUCCAAAUAAAGUCCUACCUACUAAUAUAGAUUACGGUUAUGAUCAGAUAGCUUCAGAUCAAUCUUGUCUCGACAUUAAUUUUUCUAACUUUUGAAAGAAUAUGAUAACACCCGUAACUCGACGUUGAGAAUGCCUACUACUCCAAAAGAGAUAGCAGGUGUCGUGUACAAAGUCGAAACAUUGGUGGACGCAUAGAAAAAUAUUGAGAGUGAUAAGAUCGCGCUUGACAUGAUGGGUGCGCGUAUGGGAGAGGGGAUUAAGGCCCAAAGUGCAAAAUACAAUUUGUAAAGGUUAAGGCUUUGAUUGCAAAAACUAAAAGAUUGGAUGCCAAGAGAAAAUUAAUUCUAAAGGUUAAGGAGCUCCUUCUAAAGGGAUGGAAGGUUUUUUUAGGGUUCAUGUAGAAUUGUCAUGUGGAGCCCACAUAUUUUUUUGGGGGGGUUGAACCGAGAGAUCUAUUCAUUGAUCAAAAAAAGAAAAAACGUGAACGGUGACUUAAACUGAUGAUAAAUAAAAUCCUCGAUCACGAAUUGUGAUUCAAUUGAUGAUGGAAAAAGAGAAUUCUCGGUUUAGUUCUCCACCUUAAUGACAGAAAAAAAAAUUGAUCAAAUUGUAUCAAUCUAACUCAUAAUGAUCAUAUAUCAAAGAAUGAUUCUAAUUAUCAAAUGAUUGAAUAAUCGGGAUCAAUUUACUUACGAUACUUAGUUGACAUUCCUAAAAAGUAUCUAAUAAAUUAUUAGUUCAAUCCCCGAUCCCAAUCCAUAUCAUGCGAAGCCGGCCGGUAAGGAUGUCAAUGGCACUACCAAAAAAUUUCAAUAUAAGAACACUUUUUAGACAACGCAUGAGAAAAGAAUUCUCAAAACGUCUCUACAAUAUAGCAAAUACCGACGCUUCAAAGAAUGUCAUUAUAUGAACUCUUUAUUGUUUCAAAUCAAUUUCUUAAAUGAUAAUUUUCUAAUACUUUAAAGCGUCAGAAUUUCAAAAAAUCCUAUAAAAUAUAUUUUACCCAUGCUUGGUAUAUAUAUGCGCGGUGACUCUUCACUUGUCGACGCUUGCAAAUGCAACGUUAGACUAUAUUGAGACACUUUUAUCCUUAAAUGUUACUAUUUUUGUAGUGUGGGUAAUUAAGGAUGUCCGAAAUUUAAUCCAAACGCAAAUUCAAACUUGGCGAGUUUAUCAAAUACUGAACCGAUAUGAUUUUGAAUAUGGGUAUAAAAGAAGAAAACUAGAUAGGUAGCUAUAUUUCUAUUUAAAAUAGCUAUCUAACCAUUCAAAAUUUUAAUUUUACUAUAUAAUCUAAUAAUUUAUUUGAUUUGAAUCAGUCAACGUACAGUACUUUAACUUCAAAUUUUGAAUACAUUAUUUAUCUUUACAGAUUUAAUUAGUACUUUAUACAAUUCUUUUAACUAUAAAUUCAUUAAAAUGAAUAAUUUGCUUAUAUUUUAAAAUUAAUAUAUCGUUGACCGACUCAAAUCAAAUAAAUUGAAAGAUUGAGUAAUAAUAUUAAAAUUUUAAAAUAUAGUGUAGUUGUUUCAAAAUGGUACAAAGUUUAAAUAAGUUCUGAUGGCCUUUACCUUUUAAAAAUCUAAAAAAGAAAAUAAACUCUUAUAUUAGAUUAAGGGAAAGAAUAUGUACAACUAUUGUUUGAAUGUACAGAUAGAAUUUCUCAAAAGAAAAAAAGAAAAAACUAAAAUCUACAAAAAUGCUGGGUUGUCUCAAAACGAAAAAAAAAAAAAAAAAAUCUGAACUAUGGAUCAUUUUUAAUUGGUGAACUAUGGAUAAUUUUUAGUUGGUUAUCUAUUUUUCAAAAUUUUAAUUUUACUAUCCAGGCUUUUAAUUUAUUUGAUUUGAGUCAAUUAACGAUAUUUAACUUAAAAAUUUGAAUACGUCAUUUAUAUUUACAAGUUGAAUUAAUAUACUUCGAGCAAUUAUCAUAAUUAUAAAUUUAUUAAAAUAAGUAAUUAGGUUAAAUAUUGAAGUCAAAAUAUUAUUAACUGAUUCAAAUCAAAUAAAUUUGGGUAGUAAACCUGAAUACUCUAUUCAAAAUGAUCCAAAAUUCAAACAAAAUUUGUACGUUUUUAUUAAAAAAUAAAAAAUCCAUUGACACUAAAUCUAGGAAAAAGAAAAUAAAAAAAAUAAAGGACAUGCCGUGCAAUAAAGAAAGUCUACAAUGUCAUAUUUGCACCACAUUAGCAAUAACAAGCUAGUCACAUCUUUUCUUUUGCAAAAAAAGUACAAUAAAAAUAUUUUUUAUAAUUAUAAUGUGAUGGAUCAAUCAAAAAAAUAUUUUUUUAAUUGAUUGGAGACGCCACGUCAGUAAUAUAUCACUAAUAUAUUUGGUGCAUUUUAAAAUUUUUUCACGCAACUUAGUAUCUGAAACCAACCGAUAAAGAGGGCAUGUCACAUUACUAAACAGCUUAAGAUGUAACAUAAUAUCAAGAUGUGUCACAUAACAUCAAAGAGUUUUUUUAUUUUAUUUUCUCUUUUUUGUUAUUAAAGGGACACAAAACAUCCAGGUGUCACUUUGUAUACUUAUCAUGUUUAUAACUGUAUAAACCAACAAAGUCAUUGGUGACACAUGGGACCAUAGUCAUAAUUAAAAAAUGUUUUCUUGGUUACCUAAUGUUUUGGAGUGUUACACACGUGUCAAACAAAAAAGAACAAAAAUACGCCUGUAUUAUUCCAAUAAUAAUAAUAAUAAUAAAUAAUAUUAUUUACAUAAGGAUAAUAAUGUCAAAUGACUUCAUAUGUGACACUUCUUCUGGAAGAUGGAUAAUUAAGUGCUAAACAUAUAUUAUACUAGCAACUAACCCGUGCAAUGCACGGAUUUUAAAUUUAUCUUUUAAUUACAUUUUUGAUAUAAUAUAUAUUAAUUUUUACAUAUUAAGUUUUUCUAAUAUAUUUUUAUUACAAUUUUUAUAUAAUAUAUAUUAAUUUUUACAUAUUAAGCUUUUAUUAGAAAAAUUAUUGAAUCAAAUUAAAAUAAAUACUAUCAUGAUAUACUAAUAGAUUGUAAGUAAAUAAUUUAAAAUGAAAAGAUUUUAAAAUGAAAAAGUAAAAAGGUUCAAAUCCAUUAAAAAUUUAACAUAAUUAUUAUUUAUAUAUUUUUUAAUACACAAUAUUGAAAUGGCGAAGAAAAUUAAUUUUAUUUCAAAUUCUUAAUGACUAAUUCUGUAAAGUUAUUUUUUGAAGGAUUUAAAGUGACUAAAUUUGAAAAGUAAUUUUUU
rnacentral:lncRNA from 1 species